rnacentral:rRNA from 1 species
AUGAACGCUGGCGGCGUGCCUAAUACAUGCAAGUCGAGCGAACAGACGAGGAGCUUGCUCCUCUGACGUUAGCGGCGGACGGGUGAGUAACACGUGGAUAACCUACCUAUAAGACUGGGCUAACAUCGGGAAACCGGAGCUAAUACCGGAUAAUAUAUUGAACCGCAUGGUUCAAUAGUGAAAGACGGUUUUGCUGUCUCUUAUAGAUGGAUCCCCGCCUGAUUAGCUAGUUGGUAAGGUAACGGCCUACCAAGGCAACGAUACGUAGCCGACCUGAGAGGGUGAUCGGCCACACUGGGACUGAGACACGGUCCAGACUCCUACGGGAGGCAGCAGUAGGGAAUCUUCCGCAAUGGGCGAAAGCCUGAUGGAGCAACGCCGCGUGAGUGAAGAAGGUCUUCGGGUUGUAAAACUCUGUUAUUAGGGAAGAACAAAUGUGUAAGUAACUAUGCACGUCUUGACGGUACCUAAUCAGAAAGCCACGGCUAACUACGUG